GCCGGGUGUGGUGGCUCACACCUGUAGUCCCAGCACUUUGGGAGGCCAAGGUGGGGGGAUCACCUGAGGUCAGGAGUUCGAGACCAGCCUGGCCAACAUGGUGAAACCCCAUCUCUA
rnacentral:SRP_RNA from 1 species